rnacentral:rRNA from 1 species
UACGUAGGGACCAAGCGUUGUUCGGAUUUAUUGGGCGUAAAGCGCGCGUAGGCGGCUUCUUAAGUCUGGGGUGAAAGGUUCAGCGCUCAACGCGAACAGUGCCUUGGAUACUGGGGAGCUUGAGUUCGGGAGGGGGCAGUGGAAUUCCGGGUGUAGCGGUGAAAUGCGUAGAUAUCCGGAGGAACACCGAUGGCGAAGGCAGAUCUCUGGGCCGUAACUGACGCUGAGGAGCGAAAGCAUGGGGAGCGAACAGG